CCCAGGCAGUUGGUCAAACCAUUCGAUGCCUUCACAUCGAAGCUCUGCGUACGCCCUGACCGUGCCUUCCUCAGACGCGGCAUGAAGAUAUCACAGGCAUCAAAAAGACGAGACUGAAGACAGAUUUAACAGUAAGAAGAUCAUAUACAACUUGCUGAAACCUGAUGUUCGAUUCCAUGAAGUGGAUCCAGAGAUGAACACCACCCAUGUAGAGCCAUCAAGCCAGAUCUACCAACCACGCCGAUGUUCCUGGUGGGAAUGAUCCAGAUGAGGCGACCCAAUGCAAUGCCAAGUGCUCCGAACUCCAUGCAUAUGGCCUUCAAGUUGUUCGUGCACGUGUCUACGCCCUGCCAAGGACCUGAUUGACGUAAAUUUCCGUCAUUUUAAGUAUUUUAACUGUCUAAAUGGAAUUGAAGCUG